CCUACGGGGGGCAGCAGUGAGGAAUAUUGGUCAAUGGGCGCUAGCCUGAACCAGCCAAGUAGCGUGAAGGAUGACUGCCCUAUGGGUUGUAAACUUCUUUUAUAUGGGAAUAAAGUGCAGUAUGUAUACUGCUUUGCAUGUACCUUAUGAAUAAGGAUCGGCUAACUCCGUGCCAGCAGCCGCGGUAAUACGGAGGGUCCGGGCGUUAUCCGGAUUUAUUGGGUUUAAAGGGAGCGUAGGCGGGUUGUCAAGUGAGUUGUGAAAGUUUGCGGCUCAACCGUAAAAUUGCAGUUGAUACUGGCAUGCUUGAGUACAGGAGAGGCAGGCGGAAUUCGUGGUGUAGCGGUGAAAUGCUUAGAUAUCACGAAGAACUCCGAUUGCGAAGGCAGCUUGCUGGAGUGUAACUGACGCUGAUGCUCGAAAGUGUGGGUAUCAAACAGGAUUAGAUACCCGAGUAGUC
rnacentral:rRNA from 1 species